rnacentral:rRNA from 1 species
GACGAACGCUGGCGGCGUGCCUAAUACAUGCAAGUAGAACGCACAGUUUAUACCGUAGCUUGCUACACCAUAGACUGUGAGUUGCGAACGGGUGAGUAACGCGUAGGUAACCUGCCUGGUAGCGGGGGAUAACUAUUGGAAACGAUAGCUAAUACCGCAUAAUAUUAAUUAUUGCAUGAUAAUUAAUUGAAAGGUGCAAUUGCACCACUACCAGAUGGACCUGCGUUGUAUUAGCUAGUAGGUGAGGUAACGGCUCACCUAGGCGAAGAUACAUAGCCGACCUGAGAGGGUGAUCGGCCGCACUGGGACUGAGACACGGCCCAGACUCCUACGGGAGGCAGCAGUAGGGAAUCUUCGGCAAUGGACGAAAGUCUGACCGAGCAACGCCGCGUGAGUGAAGAAGGUUUUCGGAUCGUAAAGCUCUGUUGUAAGAGAAGAACGGGUGUGAGAGUGGAAAGUUCACACUGUGACGGUAUCUUACCAGAAAGGGACGGCUAACUACGUG